GUUUCUGUAGUUAAAUGUAUAUAACAGCGGCUUUUCAGGCCGCGGUUCUCAGAGAGAAGCUGAGUAGGAAUA
rnacentral:tRNA from 1 species